rnacentral:rRNA from 1 species
UACGGAGGGUGCAAGCGUUAUCCGGAUUCACUGGGUUUAAAGGGUGCGUAGGAGGGCAGGUAAGUCAGUGGUGAAAUCUCCGGGCUCAACUCGGAAACUGCCGUUGAUACUAUCUGUCUUGUAUGCCGUGGAGAUGAGCGGAAUAUGUCAUGUAGCGGUGAAAUGCUUAGAUAUGACAUAGAACACCAAUUGCGAAGGCAGCUCGUUACACGAACAUUGACUCUGAGGCACGAAAGCGUGGGGAUCAAACAGG